UUGUGGCCGAGUUGGUUCAGGCGAUGGACUUGAAAUCCAUUCUCUCGCAAAGGAGUCGCAGGUGUUCGAACCCUGUCAA
rnacentral:ncRNA from 15 species